GACGAACGCUGGCGGCGUGCUUAACACAUGCAAGUCGAACGGAAAGGCCCUGCGUUUGUGGGGUGCUCGAGUGGCGAACGGGUGAGUAACACGUGAGUAACCUGUCCUUGACUUUGGGAUAACUCCAGGAAACUGGGGCUAAUACCGGAUAGGAGCUCCUGCUGCAUGGUGGGGGUUGGAAAGUUUCGGCGGUUGGGGAUGGACUCGCGGCUUAUCAGCUUGUUGGUGGGGUAGUGGCUUACCAAGGCUUUGACGGGUAGCCGGCCUGAGAGGGUGACCGGCCACAUUGGGACUGAGGUACGCCCCAGACUGCUACCGGCGGCAGCGGUGGGGAGUAUUGCACAAUGGGCGGGAGCCUGAUGCGGAAACGCCGCGUGCGGGAUGACGGCCUUCGGGUUGUGAACCGCUUUCGCCGGUGACGAAGAGUGAGUGACGGUAAUGGGUAAAGAAGCACCGGCUAACUACGUG
rnacentral:rRNA from 1 species